rnacentral:rRNA from 1 species
GAUGAACGCUGGCGGCGUGCCUAAUACAUGCAAGUCGAGCGAACAGACGAGGAGCUUGCUCCUCUGACGUUAGCGGCGGACGGGUGAGUAACACGUGGAUAACCUACCUAUAAGACUGGGAUAACUUCGGGAAACCGGAGCUAAUACCGGAUAAUAUAUUGAACCGCAUGGUUCAAUAGUGAAAGACGGUUUUGCUGUCACUUAUAGAUGGAUCCGCGCCGCAUUAGCUAGUUGGUAAGGUAACGGCUUACCAAGGCAACGAUGCGUAGCCGACCUGAGAGAGGGAUCGGCAACACUGGAACUGAGACACGGGCCAGACUCCUACGGGAGGCAGCAGUAGGGAAUCUUCCGCAAGGGGCGAAAGCCUGACGGAGCAACGCCGCGUGAGUGAUGAAGGUCUUCGGAUCGUAAAACUCUGUUAUUAGGGAAAAACAAAUGUGUAAGUAACUAUGCACGUCUGGACGGUACCUAAUCAGAAAGCCACGGCUAACUACGU